AGCGAACGCUGGCGGCAGGCCUAACACAUGCAAGUCGAACGGACCCUUCGGGGUUAGUGGCGGACGGGUGAGUAACACGUGGGAACGUGCCUUUAGGUUCGGAAUAGCUCCUGGAAACGGGUGGUAAUGCCGAAUGUGCCCUUCGGGGGAAAGAUUUAUCGCCUUUAGAGCGGCCCGCGUCUGAUUAGCUAGUUGGUGAGGUAACGGCUCACCAAGGCGACGAUCAGUAGCUGGUCUGAGAGGAUGACCAGCCACACUGGGACUGAGACACGGCCCAGACUCCUACGGGAGGCAGCAGUGGGGAAUCUUGCGCAAUGGGCGAAAGACUGACGCAGCCAUGCCGCGUGAAUGAUGAAGGUCUUAGGAUUGUAAAAUUCUUUCACCGGGGACGAUAAUGACGGUACCCGGAGAAGAAGCCCCGGCUAACUUCGUG
rnacentral:rRNA from 1 species